rnacentral:rRNA from 1 species
GACGAACCGUGCAAACGUUAUUCGGAAUCACUGGGCUUAAAGCGCGUGUAGGCGGGUCGCCACGUCGGGCGCUGAAAUCCCCCGGCUCAACCGGGGAACGGGCACCGAUACGAGCGGCCUCGAGGGGAGUAGGGGGACCUGGAACUUCCGGUGGAGCAGUGAAAUGCGUUGAGAUCGGAAGGAACGCCCGUGGCGAAAGCGAGGUCCUGGGCUCUUACUGACGCUGAGACGCUAAAGCCAGGGGAGCAAACGGG